rnacentral:rRNA from 1 species
AGUGAACGCUGGCGGUAGGCCUAACACAUGCAAGUCGAACGGCAGCACAGUAAGAGCUUGCUCUUACGGGUGGCGAGUGGCGGACGGGUGAGGAAUACAUCGGAAUCUACUUUUUCGUGGGGGAUAACGUAGGGAAACUUACGCUAAUACCGCAUACGACCUACGGGGGAAAGCAGGGGAUCUUCGGACCUUGCGCGAUUGAAUGAGCCGAUGUCGGAUUAGCUAGUUGGCGGGGUAAAGGCCCACCAAGGCGACGAUCCGUAGCUGGUCUGAGAGGAAGAUCAGCCACACUGGAACUGAGACACGGUCCAGACUCCUACGGGAGGCAGCAGUGGGGAAUAUUGGACAAUGGGCGCAAGCCUGAUCCAGCCAUACCGCGUGGGUGAAGAAGGCCUUCGGGUUGUAAAGCCCUUUUGUUGGGAAAGAAAAGCAGCAGGUUAAUACCCCGCUGUUCUGACGGUACCCAAAGAAUAAGCACCGGCUAACUUCGUG